rnacentral:rRNA from 1 species
UACGUAGGGGGCAAGCGUUAUCCGGAUUUACUGGGUGUAAAGGGAGCGUAGACGGAGCAGCAAGUCUGAUGUGAAAGGCAGGGGCUCAACCCCUGGACUGCAUUGGAAACUGUUGAUCUUGAGUACCGGAGAGGUAAGCGGAAUUCCUAGUGUAGCGGUGAAAUGCGUAGAUAUUAGGAGGAACACCAGUGGCGAAGGCGGCUUACUGGACGGUAACUGACGUUGAGGCUCGAAAGCGUGGGGAGCAAACAGG